rnacentral:rRNA from 1 species
GACGAACGCUGGCGGCGUGCUUAACACAUGCAAGUCGAACGGAAAGGCCCUGCUUGCCGGGUACUCGAGUGGCGAACGGGUGAGUAACACGUGGGUGAUCUGCCCUGCACUUCGGGAUAAGCCUGGGGAACUGGGUCUAAUACCGGAUAUGACCUUCCAUGUAGUGUGGGGGGUGGAAAGAUUUAUCGGUGUGGGAUGAGCCCGCGGCCUAUCAGCUUGUUGGUGGGGUAAUGGCCUACCAAGGCGUCGACGGGUAGCCGGCCUGAGAGGGUGGACGGCCACAUUGGGACUGAGAUACGGCCCAGACUCCUACGGGAGGCAGCAGUGGGGAAUAUUGCACAAUGGGCGGAAGCCUGAUGCAGCGACGCCGCGUGGGGGAUGACGGCCUUCGGGUUGUAAACCUCUUUCGACAGGGACGAAGCUUCGGUGACGGUACCUGUAGAAGAAGCACCGGCUAACUACGUG